CUGGAGCCGUCACCCACAUCAUGCAGCAGGCAUUAAGCAGUCACACUGCUUUUACCAAACACAGUGAGGAACUUGGAACUGAGGAGGGUGAGGUUGAGGAGAUGGACACAUUGGAUCCUCAGACAGGUCUGUUUUACCGAUCUGCCCUGACGCAGUCACAGUCAACUAAACAGCAAAAACUUAGCCAGCCCCAGCUGGAACAGACUCAGCUGCAGGUGAAAACCCUGCAGUGCUUCCAGACCAAACAGAAGCAGACCAUCCACCUGCAGGCUGACCAGCUCCAGCACAAACUCACACAGAUGCCUCAGCUCUCCGUCAGGCAUCAGAAACUGACUCCUCUCCAGCAGGAACAAGCACAGCCCAAGCCAGAUGCACAGCACACACAGCAUACCGUGGUGGCCAAAGACAGGCAGCUUCCUACCUUAAUGGCACAGCCCCCGCAGACUGUAGUACAGGUUCUUGCCGUAAAAACCACACAGCAGCUUCCUAAACUACAGCAAGCUCCGAACCAACCAAAAAUCUACGUGCAACCCCAAGCUCCCCAGAGCCAAAUGGCGCUCCCCACUUCAUCAGAGAAACAGCCUGCAAGCCAGGCCAUUCCCCAGUAUGCUAUUCCCUGUCACUCCAGCUCCAACGUGGUGGUGGAGCCCAGCGGGCUUCUUGAAUUGAACAACUUCACCAGUCAGCAGCUAGACGACGAUGAGACAGCUAUGGAGCAAGAUGUAGACAGCAGCACGGAGGAUGGGACUGAGCCCAGCCCCUCUCAGAGCGCUGUAGAGCGGUCCUAGUGUGCAGAUGCCACCAGAGUGCACUUUAGAGCCUGCUUGGUUACCUACCACGUGUCCAGGGAAACUUACAAUUUGUUAUGGUAAAAGAAAAAAGCACUUUGCUCAUACUUAGGCUGGGGACCUAGAAACAGUGUUUCACUGAGAUGUUGCUGCAGGAGCAGCAUUUUAACAGGAUUAAACUCACAGAGGAAUGUACUUUAAAAAAAAAAAAUAGAAGAAAAAAAAAAGCAAAGGAAGAGAUGCACCCCGUGGAGGCCUGGUCUCUUGUUGGUGCUGGGCAGUGGACAGUUUGUCUGCACUGAAGAGACUUCCUGCGAGUGGCUCUCGGCUGCUUUCCACUGAGCAAAUGCCACCAGAGAACAUUAAGAGGAAAAGAAAGGAGACUGUGAAGAGUUUGUAUUUUUGAAAUGAUGUAUCUGAACAGUUUUUUAAAAAUCGUGUUUUGUUUUUGCAAAUCCCUGGAAAUGUUGAUUUGGCUAACAUUUUACAUUUGCUCAGUUCAUGAUUAGUUUAUGAAUACCUAGGAAAGUUCUGGCAUUAAAGAGUCCUUGCUGGAGGGUAAACAUCAGAUUGUUGACCAGGAAGUAUUUGGGGUAGCUUGUACAUGUGCUCCUUGGUUGUAUACUAAUUUAUUGUGGAGUUCCACACUUGUCUAUUUAUUUAAUGUAAAUGUUUUCAAGCAGGCUAAAAUCCCUUCUCCUACAUGUUCUGGGAAGCUGGAUUGCCGGGUCUGGCCACCUCCCCUUUCUCCCCUUUAAGACGACGGAUUUGAGAAGGCUUGGUCAGGAAGCAGAGGGGAAGACAUUUCUAGCCCAAAGGAAAUGUUCAGUGGUGUUAAUGAAAGUGAACUCUGCUCGUUUGAUGCUUUCUCAACACGGAAGUUGCACAUCCAUGUUGGACUAAGACUUUGAAAACAACUCUUACUUACUCACUUUGGUUUAAAUCCCUUUGAAAUGUAUGAAAGUGUUCACUUACAAUUCUAAAUGUAAUGUUUUUAAUCUUUACU
rnacentral:lncRNA from 1 species